AUACGUAGGGGACAAGCGUUGUCCGGAAUGACUGGGCGUAAAGGGCGCGUAGGCGGUCUAUUAAGUCUGAUGUGAAAGGUACCGGCUCAACCGGUGAAGUGCAUUGGAAACUGGUAGACUUGAGUAUUGGAGAGGCAAGUGGAAUUCCUAGUGUAGCGGUGAAAUGCGUAGAUAUUAGGAGGAACACCAGUGGCGAAGGCGGGUUGCUGGACAAAUACUGCCGCGGAGGGGCGAAGGCGUGGGGAGCGAACAGGAUUAGAGACCCUGGUAGUCCACGCCGUAAACGAUGAAUGCUAGGUGUUGGGGAAACUCAGUGCCGCAGUUAACACAAUAAGCAUUCCGCCUGGGGAGUACGACCGCAAGGUUGAAACUCAAAGGAAUUGACGGGG
rnacentral:rRNA from 1 species